rnacentral:rRNA from 1 species
GACGAACGCUGGCGGCGUGCUUAACACAUGCAAGUCGAACGGAAAGGCCCUGCUUUUGUGGGGUGCUCGAUUGGCGAACGGGUGAGUAACACGUGAGUAACCUGCCCUUUACUUUGGUAUAACUUCAGGAAACUGGGGCUAAUACCUGAUAGGAGCUCCUGCUGCAUGGUUGUGGUUGGAUAGUUUCGGCGGUUGGGGAUGGACUCGCGGCUUAUCAGCUUGUUGGUGGGGUAGUGGCUUACCAAGGGUUUGACGGGUAGCCGGCAUGAGAGGGUUACCGGAGACAAUGGGACUGAGAGACGGAACAGAAGGCGACGGGAGGCAGCAGUGGGGAAUAUUGCAAAAUGGGAGGAAGCAUGAUGCAGCAACGCCGCGUGCGGGAUGACGGCCUUCGGGUUGUAAACCGAUUUCGCCUGUGACGAAGCGUGAGUGACGGUAAUGGGUAAAGAAGCACCGGCUAACUACGUG